CGCACGUGGUAAUUUGAUUUUAUUGUAAUAAAUUAGUAAUUUGCAACACUGUUUACUACACGCCUCCUGUUGGGCAUUGAAGAGAGCUUAUAUAAAGACUUUACCAUCGUGUAGUCAAGUUCUCUAAGAAAUUGGCGAUGCACGCACAUGUUUUAUGAAGAUUAACCUUGCAGUUGUAUGUGAAGAUAGCAAGUUUGUUGUUCAGAAAUUGUUGGCCUGGAGCAGGGAAUGUUGGAAGCCUGUUUCUUGCAAGUUUUUCAUCUGCAGGUUCACUUAGAUUGAAAUUGUAGGUUGGUGUUUGCAGUGAAACUGGCUUAUUUCAAGUUUUAGUCCAUUUCAAAGCCAGGUCAUCUGUAUCAUAAAUUAUCUUGAAAGGAAUGAGAGCUAUUGACUGUUAUCUGCCAGGUUUAUGGUUGGAAUUUUGACCAUGAUCAGAAACUUAACUGACAUAAUCAGGACUUAAUUAUUUGUUAUUGAAUUAUCUCAAAUCAAAAUCAAAUUUUAUUAAUUUGAUAUCCUUAUGAUGCCAUUGAUUUCUCAUGGAGGAACUAGGUUAACUUGAAACGAGGAGCUUGAUUUCACGAUGGAGAUCAUGUGGGAAGCGACAAGUUUCUUUAGUAUUCUGUGCACGGACAAUUUCUUCGAUGACGUCGUUUAGUAACCAAUGAUCAACCUGCUAUUGGUACUGGGCCAUGUGCUCGUGUUGCUUCGCGUAACAAUUUUGGGUAGAAAUUGAGGCCGAUAUAACUACUCGUGAUCUUCAUGAUUCCGGGGACUUAAGAUGGGAUUUGGUGCCAAAAGAAUUAAUUGGUUGAAAUGGCGUACGAAGAUUCCCUAUUUAAAGUUUUUGUGUUUUAUAGUUUAUAUUUAAAAAAAAUCUCUAAAACGUGACUAGGAUUUUGUUAACUGUGGCCCUUUUCCCACUGCCUUGUGAUAAAUUCGUGGCGGUACAGUUGUUACCUGAUCAGUUAAGGUUGGAAAUGUGUCUGGAGAAAUAAUUUGGUGAUGGUUCGAAGUUUUAUGCUGUUAACUGUUAAGGAUACGAUUGAAUGUUGAAUAACGGUAGAAUGCUGCUGUGAAUUCUCACCCUUGAAGGACGCUAUUUUCCGCCUUUUAAUUGCAACCCUAUGUAUAAUCGCGAUGGAUUUAUUGUUAAUUUUCCCAGGCUCUUUGUUAUAAAUAUUUUCAUUAUGUGAUGAAAUUUCAAUAAAAAAAUUUAAUGAUAA